GGCAACUUGGCCGAGCGGUCUAAGGCGCCAGACUCAAGCGAAAGCUUCGUUCUUCUAAAGAAUGAAUUCUGGUCUCGAAAGAGGCGUGAGUUCGAAUCUCACAGUUGUCA
rnacentral:tRNA from 1 species